GGUUAAGCGACUAAGCGUACACGGUGGAUGCCCUGGCAGUCAGAGGCGAUGAAGGGCGUGCUAAUCUGCGAUAAGCGCCGGUAAGGUGAUAUGAACCGUUAUAACCGGCGAUUUCCGAAUGGGGAAACCCAGUGUGAUUCGUCACACUAUCAUUAACUGAAUCCAUAGGUUAAUGAGGCGAACCGGGGGAACUGAAACAUCUAAGUACCCCGAGGAAAAGAAAUCAACCGAGAUUCCCCCAGUAGCGGCGAGCGAACGGGGAGGAGCCCAGAGCCUGAAUCAGCAUGUGUGUUAGUGGAAGCGUCUGGAAAGGCGCGCGAUACAGGGUGACAGCCCCGUACACAAAAGCGCAUGUGCUGUGAGCUCGAUGAGUAGGGCGGGACACGUGGUAUCCUGUCUGAAUAUGGGGGGACCAUCCUCCAAGGCUAAAUACUCCUGACUGACCGAUAGUGAACCAGUACCGUGAGGGAAAGGCGAAAAGAACCCCGGCGAGGGGAGUGAAAAAGAACCUGAAACCGUGUACGUACAAGCAGUGGGAGCCCCACCACUAAGCCAGUGGUGAACUCCACAUCCGCAUCCUUUGCUGAGGAUACGGUUAACGGAGCGAAAGCGACGUUCAACCGCAAAACAAGCAGAGGGGGCUUAGUGGUGGGGUGACUGCGUACCUUUUGUAUAAUGGGUCAGCGACUUAUAUUCUGUAGCAAGGUUAACCGUAUAGGGGAGCCGUAGGGAAACCGAGUCUUAACCGGGCGUUAAGUUGCAGGGUAUAGACCCGAAACCCGGUGAUCUAGCCAUGGGCAGGUUGAAGGUUGGGUAACACUAACUGGAGGACCGAACCGACUAAUGUUGAAAAAUUAGCGGAUGACCUGUGGCUGGGGGUGAAAGGCCAAUCAAACCGGGAGAUAGCUGGUUCUCCCCGAAAGCUAUUUAGGUAGCGCCUCGUGAAUUCAUCUCCGGGGGUAGAGCACUGUUUCGGCUAGGGGGCCAUCCCGGCUUACCAACCCGAUGCAAACUGCGAAUACCGGAGAAUGUUAUCACGGGAGACACACGGCGGGUGCUAACGUCCGUCGUGAAGAGGGAAACAACCCAGACCGCCAGCUAAGGUCCCAAAGUCAUGGUUAAGUGGGAAACGAUGUGGGAAGGCCCAGACAGCCAGGAUGUUGGCUUAGAAGCAGCCAUCAUUUAAAGAAAGCGUAAUAGCUCACUGGUCGAGUCGGCCUGCGCGGAAGAUGUAACGGGGCUAAACCAUGCACCGAAGCUGCGGCAGCGAACGUAUCACUUAAAGCGAUUCAGCGGGUUACGAUUGACGGAGCGAAGCGACGUCAAAGCGUAUACAAAGUCGAGUCGGUUUAAGGAUACGUUCGUUGGGUAGGGGAGCGUUCUGUAAGCCCGUGAAGGUGGCCUGUGAGGGUUGCUGGAGGUAUCAGAAGUGCGAAUGCUGACAUAAGUAACGAUAAAGCGGGUGAAAAGCCCGCUCGCCGGAAGACCAAGGGUUCCUGUCCAACGUUAAUCGGGGCAGGGUGAGUCGACCCCUAAGGCGAGGCCGAAAGGCGUAGUCGAUGGGAAACGGGUUAAUAUUCCCGUACUUGGUGUUACUGCGAAGGGGGGACGGAGAAGGCUAUGUUGGCCGGGCGACGGUUGUCCCGGUUUAAGCGUGUAGGUGUGUGUUCCAGGUAAAUCCGGUUCACUUUAACACUGAGGCGUGACGACGAGGCACUACGGUGCUGAAGCAACAAAUGCCCUGCUUCCAGGAAAAGCCUCUAAGCAUCAGGUAACACGAAAUCGUACCCCAAACCGACACAGGUGGUCAGGUAGAGAAUACCAAGGCGCUUGAGAGAACUCGGGUGAAGGAACUAGGCAAAAUGGUGCCGUAACUUCGGGAGAAGGCACGCUGACACGUAGGUGAAGUGAUUUACUCAUGGAGCUGAAGUCAGUCGAAGAUACCAGCUGGCUGCAACUGUUUAUUAAAAACACAGCACUGUGCAAACACGAAAGUGGACGUAUACGGUGUGACGCCUGCCCGGUGCCGGAAGGUUAAUUGAUGGGGUCAGCGCAAGCGAAGCUCCUGAUCGAAGCCCCGGUAAACGGCGGCCGUAACUAUAACGGUCCUAAGGUAGCGAAAUUCCUUGUCGGGUAAGUUCCGACCUGCACGAAUGGCGUAAUGAUGGCCAGGCUGUCUCCACCCGAGACUCAGUGAAAUUGAACUCGCUGUGAAGAUGCAGUGUACCCGCGGCAAGACGGAAAGACCCCGUGAACCUUUACUAUAGCUUGACACUGAACAUUGAGCCUUGAUGUGUAGGAUAGGUGGGAGGCUUUGAAGUGUGGACGCCAGUCUGCAUGGAGCCGACCUUGAAAUACCACCCUUUAAUGUUUGAUGUUCUAACGUGGACCCGUAAUCCGGGUUGCGGACAGUGUCUGGUGGGUAGUUUGACUGGGGCGGUCUCCUCCUAAAGAGUAACGGAGGAGCACGAAGGUUGGCUAAUCCUGGUCGGACAUCAGGAGGUUAGUGCAAUGGCAUAAGCCAGCUUGACUGCGAGCGUGACGGCGCGAGCAGGUGCGAAAGCAGGUCAUAGUGAUCCGGUGGUUCUGAAUGGAAGGGCCAUCGCUCAACGGAUAAAAGGUACUCCGGGGAUAACAGGCUGAUACCGCCCAAGAGUUCAUAUCGACGGCGGUGUUUGGCACCUCGAUGUCGGCUCAUCACAUCCUGGGGCUGAAGUAGGUCCCAAGGGUAUGGCUGUUCGCCAUUUAAAGUGGUACGCGAGCUGGGUUUAGAACGUCGUGAGACAGUUCGGUCCCUAUCUGCCGUGGGCGCUGGAGAACUGAGGGGGGCUGCUCCUAGUACGAGAGGACCGGAGUGGACGCAUCACUGGUGUUCGGGUUGUCAUGCCAAUGGCACUGCCCGGUAGCUAAAUGCGGAAGAGAUAAGUGCUGAAAGCAUCUAAGCACGAAACUUGCCCCGAGAUGAGUUCUCCCUGAGACUUAGAGUCUCCUGAAGGAACGUUGAAGACGACGACGUUGAUAGGCCGGGUGUGUAAGCGCAGCGAUGCGUUGAGCUAACCGGUACUAAUGAACCGUGAGGCUUAACCUU
rnacentral:rRNA from 1 species